rnacentral:rRNA from 1 species
UACGUAGGGGGCGAGCGUUGUCCGGAAUCAUUGGGCGUAAAGCGUGCGCAGGCGGUUCGUUAAGUCAGCUGUGAAAGCCCCGGGCUCAACCUGGGAAUUGCGGUUGAAACUGGCGAACUAGAAUCUGGCAGAGGGGGGUGGAAUUCCACGUGUAGCAGUGAAAUGCGUAGAGAUGUGGAGGAACACCGAUGGCGAAGGCAGCCCCCUGGGCUGAGAUUGACGCUCAGGCACGAAAGCGUGGGGAGCAAACAGG